UGGGGAAUUUUGGACAAUGGGCGAAAGCCUGAUCCAGCCAUGCCGCGUGAGUGAAGAAGGCCUUCGGGUUGUAAAGCUCUUUUAGUCGGAAAGAAAGAGUUGCAAUGAAUAAUUGUGAUUUAUGACGGUACCGACAGAAAAAGCACCGGCUAACUACGUGCCAGCAGCCGCGGUAAUACGUAGGGUGCGAGCGUUAACCGGAAUUACCGGGCGUAAAGGUUGCGCAGCAGGUCUUGCAAGUCAGAUGUGAAAGCCCCGGGCUUAACCUGGGAAUUGCGUUUGAAACUACAAGACUAGAGUGCAGCAGAGGGGAGUGGAAUUCCAUGUGUAGCAGUGAAAUGCGUAGAGAUGUGGAAGAACACCGAUGGCGAAGGCAGCUCCCUGGGUUGACACUGACGCUCAUGCACGAAAGCGUGGGGAGCAAACA
rnacentral:rRNA from 1 species